UGGGGAAUUUUGGACAAUGGGCGCAAGCCUGAUCCAGCCAUGCCGCGUGCGGGAAGAAGGCCUUCGGGUUGUAAACCGCUUUUAGUCGGGAAGAAAAGAUCACUCCUAAUACGGGUGGUUCUUGACGGUACCGGCGGAAUAAGCACCGGCUAACUACGUGCCAGCAGCCGCGGUAAUACGUAGGGUGCGAGCGUUAAUCGGAAUUACUGGGCGUAAAGGGUGCGUAGGCGGUUCGUCGUGUCUGGUGUGAAAUCCCCGGGCUCAACCUGGGAAUGGCAUUGGAAACUGGCGGACUAGAGUGUGGCAGAGGGAGGUGGAAUUCCGCGUGUAGCAGUGAAAUGCGUAGAGAUGCGGAGGAACACCGAUGGCGAAGGCAGCCUCCUGGGCUAACACUGACGCUGAGGCACGAAAGCGUGGGGAGCAAACAGG
rnacentral:rRNA from 1 species